rnacentral:rRNA from 1 species
AUACGGAGGAUGCAAGCGUUAUCCGGAUUUAUUGGGUUUAAAGGGUGCGUAGGCGGAAAUUUAAGUCAGUGAUGAAAUCCUGCGGCUCAACCGUAGAACUGUUAUUGAUACUGAAUUUCUUGAAUACAGUUGAGGUAGGCGGAAUGAGUAAUGUAGCGGUGAAAUGCUUAGAUAUUACUCAGAACACCGAUUGCGAAGGCAGCUUACUAAACUGAUAUUGACGCUGAGGCACGAAAGCGUGGGGAGCGAACAGGAUUAGAUACCCUGGUAGUCCACGCCGUAAACGAUGAUCACUCGUUGUUGGCAAUACACCGUCAGCGACUGAGCGAAAGCAUUAAGUGAUCCACCUGGGGAGUACGAUCGCAAGAUUGAA